AGACUUUGAUUCUGGCUCAGGACGAACGCUGGCGGCGUGCUUAACACAUGCAAGUCGAACGGUCUACCUCGACAGAAACCUUCGGGUUGAAGACGAGAUCUAGAUAGUGGCGGACGGGUGAGUAACACGUGAAUAAUCUAUCCUCAAGUUUGGGAUAACCUGGCGAAAGUCGGGCUAAUCCGAGGUAAGCUGAGAGUGUGGCAUCACACAAUCAGAAAAGGUGGCAUUGCCAUCGUUUGAGGAGGAGUUCGCGGUAGAUUAGCUAGCUGGUGAGGUAACGGCUCACCAGGGCAACAAUCUAUAGCUGGUCUGAGAGGACGAUCAGUCACACUGGAACUGAGACACGGUCCAGACUCCUACGGGAGGCAGCAGUGGGGAAUCUUCCACAAUGGGCGCAAGCCUGAUGGAGCAACGCCGCGUGAAUGAAGAAGGCCUUAGGGUCGUAAGUUCUGUCCUUAGGGAAGAACCGUGGGUAUAGCAAAUGAUACCCACCUGACGGUACCUUUGGAGCGAAGCACUGGCUAACUACGUGCCAACAGCCGCGGUAA
rnacentral:rRNA from 1 species